CGAGCGCUCCAAUUGGAGGCAGGGCUUGCUUGUCUGCAAGCGUUGGAGGUCAGCGGCAGUCCACUGGGCCUCGGUGUUCGGUUCCCGGGUCCUCCAAGUUCCAUUCCCAGGCGGGUCCGGGCUCAGGGGCCCGAGCAGACUCGCUGUGUCCUCCGGUCGCUGUGCUGAAGCCGCGACGCACGUACAGCCGGAGUGUGACGGGUCGACCCCGGUCACCCAGUCCCGGGCGUGGAGCGUGCGUCGGACGCAGGUCGGGGGCGUGGUCUCCGCCGGGGCCCCUGGUCAAGGACCGGGAACGAGGGAAGGGCUCUGGGCCCCAGGCUGGGGUUCGAAUGUCGACUCCGCCCCAUGACGUCUAGCGUACCGCUCAGCAUUUCUCAGGGCCUGGGUGCCAUCUCGGUGAAAGGGGCCGUGGCAGGCCCACUAGGGUCUGCUGCGCGGCCCGCUCAGCCCCUGCCCUGGGUAGCAGGUGUGGCGGAGGAAGGGAAAGACGGGAGGCAUCUCAGAGCGCUGUGGGGCCCGGAAGCCCAGAGUCCGGUUAUUUUUAACCACCCGCGCCCCCUCCCCCUUCGGGGAGUUGGAAGGCUUCUGUCUGGGGCCUGUGCGACCCCGCCAAGGAUUGCUCCGAGUCCACUUUAGAUAGGAGGUAUUUAAAGCGCUUUACAGUUUGUGAGUUGAUUCUUGGUUCCUCUGGAAACGGGUGACAAUAUUGAUCACCGAUAAGGAGACUAAAAAUGGCUUCAGGGCCUUGGUGGGUCAUCACCCUAGCCUUUGACCAACCCAGGCCCCAGAGCCCUCUUGUCCUAUUUUUAGUCUGGCCAAAUUGGGGGCGGUGUUGGGGCUGAGUCUCGAAGUGAUUCAGGCUUUAGCUGCUCUAGGCAUCUGGUCACCUGGCAACUGAGCCGUGGGCACCCACAGCUGAGCAGGGAGGGCAGAAGUCCUUGGUGCCCAAGAUGGCUCUGGGCCCAUGGUCAUCUGCUCAGGCAUCUGCACAGAAGACGGUUCUGCCUGGUCAGGUACUGCCUGGCAGACAGACCAUGGCAGAGUUCUCCCAGAAACGGGGGAGGCAGCGUGACGAGGUCCUGGGCAGCACUGUGGACUUCCUCCUGGCCAAUGCCCGCCUGGUGCUGGGCGUUGGUGGGGCCGCUGUGCUGGGAAUUGCUACCUUGGCUGUGAAGCGGCUCAUCGACAGGGCCACCAGCCCUCGAGACGAGGAUGAUGCCAAAGGGGACACCACAUGCCUGGAGGAGAGCUGGAAGGAACUGACCCUACUCAAGACCACGCCACGCCUGCAGCCCCGGACCCCACCUGCUGCCCUCAGCCAGCCAGCAUCGCUCCCCGCCCCCUUGCCAUCUGCCCCCGAGGGGCCCUCAGACACGGAGCCUCAGCCGUUGCCUCAGCCGAGCUCCCCAGCACCGCUGUGCCUGACGUUUCAGGAGAAGCUGCUGGCGUUCGAGCGGGACCACGUGACCAUCCCAGAGGCCCACGUGGCUCUGGCCAAGCAGCUGGCCGGUGACAUCGCCCUUGAGCUGCAGGCCUACUUGCGGAACAAAUUCCCGGAACUGCCCUUCGGGGCCCUUGUGCCCGGCGGGCCGCUCUAUGACGGGCUCCAGGGAGGGGCCGCCAGCCGCGUGCGCCUCCUGGUUCCCCUGGUGCUGGAGGUGGGCCUGUGGGGCCUGGUGCCCGGCGUGGACACCGUGGCCAGGGACCCUCGCUGCUGGGCCGUGCGGAGGACUCAGCUUGAGUUCCGUCCCCGCGGGAGCAGCCCCUGGGACCGCUUCCUGGUGGGCGGCUACCUCUCCUCCCGGGUCCUGCUGGAGCUGCUCCGCAAGGCCCUGGCCUCCUCCGUCAACUGGCCGGCCAUCGGCGGCCUCCUCGGGUGCCUGAUCCGGCCCAGCGUGGCCUCGGAGGAGCUGCUGCUCGACGUGCAGCACGAGCGCCUCGAGCUCACCGUCGCCGUGCUCCUGGCGGUCACCGGUGCCGACGCCGAAGACCGCCUCCUUCUGGCCUGGCCCCUGGAGGGGCUGGCCGGGAACCUCUGGCUGCAGGACCUGUACCCUGCAGAGGCCACCAGGCUGCGGGCCCUGGACGAGCAUGAUGCCGGGACCCGCCGACGGCUGCUGCGGCUGCUGUGCGGGGUCUGCUGUGGCCACCCGGCCCUGGGGCGGCUGGACCGCUGCCAUCUGACCCAGGUGGUUCUGCGCCUGGGGGAGGAGGAGGUGGACUGGGCCGAGGCGGCCCUGGGGGAGCGCUUCCUGCAGGCCCUGGAGUCGCUCAUCGACAGCCUGGAGCGGGCCAGCCUGCCCUGCCACUUCAACCCCGGCGUGAACCUCUUGAGCGGCCUGCGUGAGGAGGAGAUUGACGACAUCGGCUUCGCGCUCUACAGCGGCCUGCAGGCCCCCGAGUGUCUGCUCUAGAUGGGUGGGGACAGGGCGGCCGGCACUCGUGCUGAUGCUGGUGAGCUGUGUGCGCCUCCCCUCCAGGAAUUUGGAGAGCACUUUUUCUCUUGCUUUAGCCAGAAUAGAGGAGGGUGCUCUAAGUCCGCGGGGUUAGCAUGUCCCGGGCAGCAGUCCGGGGAGCCCCAAGCCCGGGCCUCUGGGGCAGCCGGCCUCUCCCGCCCCGUCAGCCCUCGGGCCGACCCUAGGACCUUGGGCUCGGUCCGUCGUCACCAGCAGUGAACGCACUGACAGAACACGGCUUCUGCUGUCCUAGGCAGGGGAUAAAGGCAGCUCCGUUUUUCUGUCGAGAGGGGGCCGGAGUCACCUGGUACCCCCGGAUUGCAGCUUUGGGGCUGAUUUAAAGGCCGCGUCUCCCGAGGUCACCUGCGUGUCUAGUUGGCUUGUCGAGCUCUCCCCUCUAGCCUGGAACAGGAGCUCAGUCUGGCGUGCUGCCCACCUCCUACCUCAGGGGAAGGCCCCUCUCCCUCCAACCGGGCCAUUUUUCUCUUUGGGCAGAGAGGCCCCUGGGAGAGCCCCCUUCCGCUGCUGGGGGAGCCAAGGUUCCCUGUGCUGCCCACCUUGCCUAGAGGCAGGGCUGUCCGACUAGCUGCUGCUGGGUCCGGCCGGAGAGCGGAGGCCGCGCCUUCCCAGGGAAGCCGGCUGAGCGGGCCUGACCUCCACAGUGCCAACCUGAACUGCUCCCCGCUGACGCCUGUGUCCUCACUGAAGCCUGGCAGAGGUGGGGAGGGAGGGCCGCCCCACCUCCCAGGCAUCCCUCCCGUCUUUGGUAUCCUUCUUGCUGAAGCAAAGCUAUGCCUCAAAGAAUGCGAAUGAGAAUAAAAGGAAAAAUUCAAACGUC